UUAAAAGAGUCGACUGAUUUUGAAGCAAUGCUCGAUGAUAUGUCAAGUACCUCUAGGCAGAGCCGGUCUGUGUUAAAUCGUAGCAUGUGCACACCAACUGAAGUGUAUUCACAAGAGCCGAACACAGCAAAUACUACUCCAUAUUCCCGUUAUCGGAAAAGCGCUAGAGAACGAUAUCUUGAACAAAUAAUCGAGCUCAAAAGAAAAAGCACAGAAGAAAAGGCAAAGUUCUACGCGAAUAUACAAAGUAAGAUGCAGGAUUUGCUGGAAAAACGAGAUCUCCAGAUGGAAAUCGAACAAAAAAAACUAAAAAUAGAGGUAGAAAAACUUUAACUUCCACAGCAGUAUGUUAUGAAUAAAAGAUAGCAAAAUUAAUUGAUUUUAUAACCAAUAGAUAUUGUUUUAUUUCA